rnacentral:rRNA from 1 species
GACGAACGCUUGCGGCGUGCUUAACACAUGCAAGUCGAACGGAAAGGCCCUGCUUUUGUGGGGUGCUCGAGUGGCGAACGGGUGAGUAACACGUGAGUAACCUGCCCUUGACUUUGGGAUAACUUCAGGAAACUGGGGCUAAUACCGGAUAGGAGCUCCUGCUGCAUGGUGGGGGUUGGAAAGUUUCGGCGGUUGGGGAUGGACUCGCGGCUUAUCAGCUUGUUGGUGGGGUAGUGGCUUACCAAGGCUUUGACGGGUAGCCGGCCUGAGAGGGUGACCGGCCACAUUGGGACUGAGAUACGGCCCAGACUCCUACGGGAGGCAGCAGUGGGGAAUAUUGCACAAUGGGCGGAAGCCUGAUGCAGCAACGCCGCGUGCGGGAUGACGGCCUUCGGGUUGUAAACCGCUUUCGCCUGUGACGAAGCGUGAGUGACGGUAAUGGGUAAAGAAGCACCGGCUAACUACGUGCCAGCAGCCGCGGUGAUACGUAGGGUGCGAGCGUUGUCCGGAUUUAUUGGGCGUAAAGGGCUCGUAGGUGGUUGAUCGCGUCGGAAGUGUAAUCUUGGGGCUUAACCCUGAGCGUGCUUUCGAUACGGGUUGACUUGAGGAAGGUAGGGGAGAAUGGAAUUCCUGGUGGAGCGGUGGAAUGCGCAGAUAUCAGGAGGGAACACCAGUGGCGAAGGCGGCUCUCUGGGCCUUUCCUGACGCUGAGGAGCGAAAGCGUGGGGAGCGAACAGGCUUAGAUACCCUGGUAGUCCACGCUGUAAACGGUGGGUACUAGGUGUGGGGUCCAUUCCACGGGUUCCGUGCCGUAGCUAACGCUUUAAGUACCCCGCCUGGGGAGUACGGCCGCAAGGCUAAAACUCAAAGGAAUUGACGGGGCCCCGCACAAGCGGCGGAGCAUGCGGAUUAAUUCGAUGCAACGCGUAGAACCUUACCUGGGUUUGACAUGGAUCGGGAGUGCUCAGAGAUGGGUGUGCCUCUUUUGGGGUCGGUUCACAGGUGGUGCAUGGCUGUCGUCAGCUCGUGUCGUGAGAUGUUGGGUUAAGUCCCGCAACGAGCGCAACCCUUGUUCACUGUUGCCAGCACGUUAUGGUGGGGACUCAGUGGAGACCGCCGGGGUCAACUCGGAGGAAGGUGGGGAUGACGUCAAGUCAUCAUGCCCCUUAUGUCCAGGGCUUCACGCAUGCUACAAUGGCUGGUACAGAGAGUGGCGAGCCUGUGAGGGUGAGCGAAUCUCGGAAAGCCGGUCUCAGUUCGGAUUGGGGUCUGCAACUCGACCUCAUGAAGUCGGAGUCGCUAGUAAUCGCAGAUCUGCAACGCUGCGGUGAAUACGUUCCCGGGGCU